GGAACUUGUAGAGAGGAUUCCUACAUGGAGUGGGAGACUGAAAUAAUAACCUCAAAGAUGCCUUCCAAUCAGAAGAUUUGGUGAUUCUUUCUGAGUUAUCAAACUGCCUUCCUUUGACCUUGCUCACAUGUAGAAAUCCAAGUCAGCGCAGCUUAACUUGGACUCACCACCUAUCAAGUGCUCGACAGCCACGUGUGCAGUGGUUCCUACGUGGAGCAGCAUACAUCCAGAGAUGCAAAUAUUAAUGAGGACAGUGCUAGUAACAGAGUUGCUGAGCAAUCUAUGUCCCCUUGUAAGAACCAGUGCCCCAGGGGAAGAAACAGAACUCCACAAGGUAGCAGUGUGGGUGUAGUACCCGCAUGUGCCCAUGUUAUGGGAAUGUAGAUGGGGAGUGACCACCGCCAACAGAAGUGUGGCCAUCUUGCCCGAGAUGCCUGAGGACCUCCUAUUUUUAGAUGCUGCUGCCCAAGGCCUGUAUUUCAUGCUAUGGCUUUUGUCAUUUGAAUUAUCAGUAGCUGUCUCGGAGCUAUUACGCUUCACUGGGCCCUGGAGGAUAUUGUCUUAUACAGUCCACUGGGUUUUGGAUAUGCAGUCUGUGCCUUUCAUUGCCUUCCUGGAAAAUAAUAACUAAACUCUUCCUCACCAGGCUUUUUGUCUUUUUUAACUUUCUCUUUGUCUAGUUUAUUUUGGUAUCUCUGUUACUAUCAUUUCUUCAAUGUUUUUUUCCUGCUGAUCUAACUCUUUUAGCUUGUUCA
rnacentral:lncRNA from 1 species